CAUUUUCGAAUUCUGGAAUUCUUAGUCGAGAUUUUACUUAGCUUGAUUCUACUUUUGAUUUCAAUUUUCUGCAUGUUAGAUUAUAGGGUGUAUUUCUAGGUUGAAAUUUGUGAACUAUAGGGGCUAUCAGUAUUCUGUGUGUUGUAUGCUGCUGGCCUAUUGAUAUUCUUUUGCUGUAAAUUGCUGCUGCCAAUGCCAUUGGGCAUUUUUGUUGUUAUAUCUUGUGCUACAAAAUGCCAUUGGGCAUCCCAUUUUCUAUCCCUAGUAGGUUUUAGAGGCUUGGGUACCUUCCCCCAAGUUUUCUGGCACCUAACCUUACCCGUUAUGCUGCCACAAUUUCGGCUCAAUCUGUUUGUUGCUUGAUUCAUUUACUUGCAUUGAAUGAUUGUGAAUGCUCGAUGCUUAAUUUUAAUUUUUAUCAGGUAAAAUGGCAGACGAUCAACAACGCCGACACAACCCCGCUCGCCCUACAAGUAAAAGGGCAAGAACAGACGCGUCAUCCUUUGAGCAGCAUGAUUAGCAGCCACCUUCAGAGGCACCUCUAGCACCUAGAGUAGCACCUCCACAUACCCUAGUGCAUCCUAGAGUUGCAGAUCACCCUAAAGCUCGACUGCAACCACCAGCACCACCCAGACAUAGAUUUCUAACCUUCACCAAUACUUUGCAAAUAGACAGAUUCAUAAUAGUCAGAAAUAAGACGCUGGGUACAAGGAGAUGUGUAGACUGGUAGGCAUUGAGAGAUGUCAGAUUGUUUGAUGAGGUGUCUUCCCUUUUAGAGACACUUCCAUGGCACAGAUUUUUCGACAUCAGAGAGUCCACAUACAAGGAGAUUACUUAGGAGUUUUUCAGCACUUUCUGGCUCUAGCUGCAUCUCCAGGAUUACACCACCCCAGGCACCAUCACAUUCCGACUGGCCGCUCUUUUGCCAUGUUAGUUGCUUAGUUCGAAGUAGCUUUGGGCAUUUGGACAGUUGAGGAGGCACAGUCAGAUGAGUAUAGAGAGGCUAUCACCGGAGUCCGAAAACCCGUUGGACCGUUGCACUGCCCAGUGCACGGAGCAUGGCCCGUGCACCCACCUAUGCCAGCUCUUUUUUAUACAAAUAGGUUCAUUCUUUCAUUUUACUCUUUUGGCUUUCCAUUUUUCUCCUCUUCUAUCUGAAUUUUAUGCGGUUUUCCAAGG
rnacentral:lncRNA from 1 species